rnacentral:rRNA from 1 species
GAUGAACGCUGGCGGCGUGCUUAACACAUGCAAGUCGAACGGAAAGGCCCCAGCUUGCUGGGGUACUCGAGUGGCGAACGGGUGAGUAACACGUGGGUGAUCUGCCCUGCACUUUGGGAUAAGCUUGGGAAACUGGGUCUAAUACCGAAUAUGACCACUUCUUGGAUGUUGUGGUGGAAAGCUUUUGCGGUGUGGGAUGAGCCUGCGGCCUAUCAGCUUGUUGGUGGGGUAAUGGCCUACCAAGGCGGCGACGGGUAUCCGGCGUGAGAGGGUGUACGGACACAUUGGGACUGAGAUACGGCCCAGACUCCUACGGGAGGCAGCAGUGGGGAAUAUUGCACAAUGGGCGCAAGCCUGAUGCAGCGACGCCGCGUGGGGGAUGAAGGCCUUCGGGUUGUAAAGCUCUUUCGCCGGUGAAGAUAAUGACGGUAACCGGAGAAGAAGCCCCGGCUAACUUUGUGCCAGCAGCCGCCGCGG